GUCGGUGUGUGUGCGCGCGCGUCCGUGCAUGGCAAAAAUAGCUUCUUUUGAUUAUUUUCCAAUCUGGGUCUUUCUCAUUUUUAUGUAAUUUGUUGUCCUUUAUUUUAGGUUGGCUAGCAGGCAAAGAACAGUACUCAGAAGAUUGGCGGUAGGUUGGUUUGGAGCAGAAAUUAUGCGGUCAAAAACAUUAAAUUUGGCGUUGAAACUCGCGCUUUGAUGCUUAAAGGUGCUGAGGAGCUCGCUGAUGCUGUUAAAGUGACUAUGGGGCUAAAAGGAGGGGGUUUAAUUCCUCGUACUCCAAUUAAAUAUUGUGUAGUUUAGACGUUUGAGUUCUUGUUUCGUAUUUGACUUCCCACUGGGGCGCAAUGUUGUUUUGGAACAAAGUUGGGGAGGCCCUAAAGUGACAAAAGAUGGUGUCACUGUAUCAAAGAGCAUUGAAUUCCAAGACAAAGUGAAGAACAUAGGUGCUAGCCCUGUAAAGCAGGUUGCAGGUGCUACAAAUGAUGUGGCAGGCGAUGUGGCCAGCGAUGGUACCACUUUUGCAACAGUCCUCACCCAUGUCAUAUUUGUUGAAGGAUGCAAGUCUGUGGAAGCUGGAAUGAAUGCCACGGACUUAAGACAUUGGAUUUGAUUAACCAUGCUACUAAUAUGACCUUUCUAAAAAGGUUGGAACAAUAUCAGCAAAUGGAGAAAGAAAGAUCAGUGAGCUGAUAGCCAAAGCAAUGGAGAAAGUUGGCAAAGAGGGUGUCAUUAGCAUCUAGGUAGGAUGCUUUUGAGUUGUUCCAUUUUUCCCUUGUAUUUCCUUCGAUUCUUAUAAUGUUAGGAACCUUAUUUUGUGGACCUUUGAGCUGCACAACCUUAUUUUUGUUGUUAGCUUCUGCAACUUCAUUGCUCUUACUGGAUGUUUGUUGGGCUUUUUUUUUAUUUUUUUAUUCCUAUCAUUCAGCAUGCUAACUUUGUUCCUCUCAAAACCAUUUCAACAUAAGUUAGAGCUCAUUGAAGGAAUGAAGCUGGACAGAGGCUACAUGUCUCCUUAUUUUGUCGCCACCACCACCACCACUACAACUAAGCCUUAGUCCCAAACUAGUUGGCGUCAGCUAUAUAGAUCCCUUUUCGCCAUUCAGCUCUGUUAGACACCAAGUCUACAUCAAUAUAUCUCUUUAUUUUGUCACCAAUACAAAAAAAAAAAAAAAGUGUAGGCACUUCUAAAUUGGAGUAUGAAUUGUUCCACCUUAUCAUAUUCAUAUUUUAAUUUUUGAUUGUUGGUUUACUUCACAUGGCACAGGAACUAGAAGAUCUUCUCAUUUUAAUUCAUGAGAAGAA